UACGGAGGGUGCAAGCGUUAUCCGGAUUCACUGGGUUUAAAGGGUGCGUAGGUGGGCAGGUAAGUCAGUGGUGAAAUCUCCGGGCUUAACUCGGAAACUGCCAUUGAUACUAUCUUUCUUGAAUACCGUGGAGGUCAGCGGAAUAUGUCAUGUAGCGGUGAAAAUGCUUAGAUAUGACAUAGAACACCAAUUGCGAAGGCAGCUGGCUACACGAAUAUUGACACUGAUGCACGAAAGCGUGGGGAUCAAACAGG
rnacentral:rRNA from 1 species